AGUGAACGCUGGCGGUAGGCCUAACACAUGCAGGUCGAACGGCAGCACAGUAAGAGCUUGCUCUUACGGGUGGCGAGUGGCGGACGGGUGAGGAAUACAUCGGAAUCUACUUUUUCGUGGGGGAUGACGUAGGGAAACUUACGCUAAUACCGCAUACGACCUACGGGUGAAAGCAGGGGAUCUUCGGACCUUGCGCGAUUGAAUGAGCCGAUGUCGGAUUAGCUAGUUGGCGGGGUAAAGGCCCACCAAGGCGACGAUCCGUAGCUGGUCUGAGAGGAUGAUCAGCCACACUGGAACUGAGACACGGUCCAGACUCCUACGGGAGGCAGCAGUGGGGAAUAUUGGACAAUGGGCGCAAGCCUGAUCCAGCCAUACCGCGUGGGUGAAGAAGGCCUUCGGGUUGUAAAGCCCUUUUGUUGGGAAAGAAAAGCAGCAGGUUAAUACCCCGCUGUUCUGACGGUACCCAAAGAAUAAGCACCGGCUAACUUCGUG
rnacentral:rRNA from 1 species